rnacentral:rRNA from 1 species
UCGAGGAUCUUCGGCAAUGGGCGCAAGCCUGACCGAGCGACGCCGCGUGUGCGAUGAAGGCCUUCGGGUUGUAAAGCACUGUCGAGGGGGAGGAAAGCCGCAAGGUUUGACCUAUCCCUGGAGGAAGCACGGGCUAAGUUCGUGCCAGCAGCCGCGGUAAGACGAACCGUGCGAACGUUGUUCGGAAUCACUGGGCUUAAAGGGCGCGUAGGCGGUUGAUCAAGUCUGGGGUGAAAUCUUUCGGCUUAACCGGAAAAGUGCCUUGGAUACUGGUCAGCUGGAGGGAGGUAGGGGCAGUUGGAACUUCCAGUGGAGCGGUGAAAUGCGUUGAUAUUGGAAGGAACGCCGGUGGCGAAAGCGAGCUGCUGGACCUCUUCUGACGCUGAUGCGCGAAAGCUAGGGGAGCAAACGGGAUUAGAUACCCCCGUAGUCC